ensembl:lncRNA
AUGCUUCAUAGCAUUCAAGAAUGGACUAUUCAACAUGCACAGGAAACGGAGCAUGUUCAUUGGUUCAUGGCCCUCCCUGAACUAAUGGCAUUUAUUGCAAUUGUCAUCUUGCGGGGGCUUACCAAGGUGUUUUCAACCACUGCUGCUACGCUGACGGCGUAUGCGCCCAAACGGAAGAAGACCGUCUACAUUCUUAGCAGCAUGCACAGCGUGAUUCAGACUGAUAAUACCACCAAAAGGAAGCCAAACACUGUCACCCUUUACAACACCACAAAGUGCGGCGUGGAUGUGAUGGACCAGAUGGUGCGGGAGUACACUGUCCGCACAGGGACACGGCUACAGAUACACAUGUGGUAAAUGCAGACGGGAGAUACCAUGGCAGUGCCAGGAUUGUGAGUGAUUGCUGGAAUGUACUCACUCACUUUUUAAUAUUAUUUGUAAAUAUGUGUACAAAUGGUUGGUUUCUUUAUUUUAUUUUGUACUAUUUUUAUCAAUAAAUCUCAGCAACAAAGGAAAAAAAAACA